CAACCCUCAAGCUCAGCUUGGUAUUGGGUGUCACCUAGCAAUGGUGCACCUUAAAAUCAGUGGCGGUGCCAUCUGGCUUCAAGCGUAGUAAUUCUCUCGCUUUGGAGGUUUUGGAUGUGUUCUUGCCCAUCAAUCCCUAAUUUAUCAAU
rnacentral:misc_RNA from 1 species